rnacentral:rRNA from 1 species
UACGGGGGGGGCAAGCGUUGUUCGGAAUUACUGGGCGUAAAGGGCUCGUAGGCGGCCAACUAAGUCAGACGUGAAAUCCCUCGGCUUAACCGGGGAACUGCGUCUGAUACUGGAUGGCUUGAGUUCGGGAGAGGGAUGCGGAAUUCCAGGUGUAGCGGUGAAAUGCGUAGAUAUCUGGAGGAACACCAAUGGCGAAGGCAGCUCGCUGGGACGUUACUGACGCUGAGACGCGAAAGCGUGGGGAGCAAACAGG